rnacentral:tRNA from 1 species
GUGGCCAUAGCUCAGUUGGUAGAGCAUGGGAUUGUGAUUCCCAGGGUCGCGGGUUCAAGCCCCGUUGGUCACCCCA